rnacentral:tRNA from 1 species
GCCUAGCUGGCUUAGUCAGUAGAGCAUGAGAUUCUUGGUCUCAGAUUUGUAAGUUCAAGUCCCAUGAUCGGCA